rnacentral:rRNA from 1 species
AUGGAGGCCCUCGCCGCCGGCGCCGAUGUGUCCAUGAUUGGGCAGUUUGGUGUUGGCUUCUACUCCGCCUACCUUGUUGCCGAGAGGGUCAUCGUCACCAUGAAGCACAACAACGACGGGCAGUACGUGUGGGAGUCCCAGGCUGGUAGCUCCUUCACCGUCACUCGUGAUACGUUUGGGGAGCAGCUCGGCAGGGGUACCAAGAUGGUCCUCUACCUCAAGGACGACUAG